rnacentral:lncRNA from 1 species
UCAUCAUAUUCUUCUUAAUUAUUCUUCUCACCGUUUACUUUUUUCUUCUUCACAGAACUAACAUGCUUACAUCGAUAUUUUUUUCCAGGUGUAUUCGAUUUUUAUCCUUCUGGUGUUCGUUGCAAUCGGUGGAGAAAAAAACGUACGUGUCUACGUGCAUGUGUCCUUUUUCCCCUCGAAGACUAUAUAACUCUAAAGUAUAAAUUAAUGAUUGAUACUUUGUUUUAAAAUGAUUGCAGAAUUGAGAUUUUCUGAAAU